AUUGAACGCUGGCGGCAGGCCUAACACAUGCAAGUCGAGCGGAUGAAGGGAGCUUGCUCCUGGAUUCAGCGGCGGACGGGUGAGUAAUGCCUAGGAAUCUGCCUGGUAGUGGGGGAUAACGUCCGGAAACGGGCGCUAAUACCGCAUACGUCCUGAGGGAGAAAGUGGGGGAUCUUCGGACCUCACGCUAUCAGAUGAGCCUAGGUCGGAUUAGCUAGUUGGUGGGGUAAAGGCCUACCAAGGCGACGAUCCGUAACUGGUCUGAGAGGAUGAUCAGUCACACUGGAACUGAGACACGGUCCAGACUCCUAAGGGAGGCAGCAGUGGGGAAUAUUGGACAAAGGGCGAAAGCCUGAUCCAGCCAUGCCGCGUGUGUGAAGAAGGUCUUCGGAUUGUAAAGCACUUUAAGUUGGGAGGAAGGGCAGUAAGUUAAUACCUUGCUGUUUUGACGUUACCAACAGAAUAAGCACCGGCUAACUUCGUG
rnacentral:rRNA from 1 species